rnacentral:rRNA from 1 species
UGGGGGAUAUUGCACAAUGGGCGAAAGCCUGAUGCAGCGACGCCGCGUGGGGGAUGAAGGCCUUCGGGUUGUAAACUUCUUUUGCUCUGAACAAGGCAUGCUAAUGGGUGUGUUGAGUGUAGGGGUUGAUUAGCGCCGGCUAACUACGUGCCAGCAGCCGCGGUAAUACGUAGGGCGCGAGCGUUGUCCGGCAUUAUUGGGCGUAAAGGGCUUGUAGGUGGCUGGUGGCGUCUGUCGUGAAAGCUCAUGGCUUAACUGUGGGUUUGCGGUGGGUACGGGCUGGCUUGAGUGCAGUAGGGGAGGCUGGAAUUCCUGGUGUAGCGGUGGAAUGCGCAGAUAUCAGGAGGAAUACCGGUGGCGAAGGCGGGUCUCUGGGCUGUUACUGACACUGAGGAGCGAAAGCAUGGGGAGCGAACAGG